ensembl:lncRNA
CAUAGAGAAUGUCCUAAUUUCAUUCUUUUACAUGUAGCUGUCCAGUUUUUGCUGCACCAUUUAUUGAAGAAUUUCUCCAUUGUAUAUUCUUGUUUCUUCUGUUGUAGAUUAAUCAUAAGUACAUGGAUUUAUUUCUGGGUUCUCUAUUCUGUGUCAAAAUCAGGGAGUGUGUAACUUCAGAUCUUUUUAGAAUAAGGUAAAAUUUAAGUCAUAAGGAAGCACACUCAUGUAUUGUUUCCUUUUAAGGUUGAUAGACAUCAUUGUAUUUCAUCAAAAGCAAGAUUUCAUCCCAUUUUCAGAAGAAUCAUGAUUAUAUGUACCACUGAAAAAAUACACAGCCAACUAAAUCAUGUUACACAUUCAAUUAAAAACAUGCUGAUUUUGGAGAUGUGAAAACAAAUGUGUGUCUUAAAAUUGAUGAGAUGUGAUAUAUAAAACUGGGUUGGCCAGAAUGGUCAGGAGUCAGCAUUCAGGCAAGCAGAAGUGUAUUCCAACAGGGCUUUCACACCGUGUCUGACACUCGUCACUGACCUGUUUGUUGUCUCUGUGCACCUGUUUUGUAGGCUGACUCCCUCCAAGGUGCUAGUUGGUGCAGUGUUAAGUCCAUUUGUCUCAGCCAGAAAUCUGAAUAUCAUACGGGUUGCCUUCCCUCCUAUAGCUGACUCCUGUUCCUUGAUUCUGCCUCUUCAGUUCCUGUAGCUGCCUCUUCCAAAUCGCUGAGAGUCACAACAAUCCCACUGGAGCAGGUCUCCGCCAUCUGUUACAGGCAUGUCCCAGGAGUCUCCGGACAGGACUCUGUGUCCAGACUUUACGCUUCCACUUGAUUCUCUCCACGACAGCCAGCUGAAACAUGUUACUGCCGGGUGGGUGCCCGAUUGUGCUCUUCACUGUCUGAGAAUGAUGGCCGGGCACUGGAGCCAGUUCCCUGAACUUACUUCAAUCCAAGGCAUGAAUGCCACAGGCUCUUUCACACCUGCCAGUCUUCUUCCCAGGUGGUGCUAGUGGUAAGGAAUCCACCCGCCAACGCAGGAGACUUAAGAGGCGCGGGUUCAAUCCCUGGGUCGGGAAGAUCCCUGGAGGAGGAAAUGGUAACCGACUCUAGUAUUCUCGCCUGCAGAAUCCCAUGGACAAAGGAGCCUGGCCUGACUUUGCUACUCUGAGUCCCGGUUCCGGUACUCAUACGUCCCGGCUCUGGUCCACACAGAGGCCUGGCUCCGGACCUCAACGCUGAGAGCUGGCUCUGCUCCUCACUGAAGUCCAGCUGCACCCCUGCCUGAGUCUCGGCUCAGCUCAGCACGCCAGGUCCUCUCCGCACUGAGACCCGGCAAGGCUCUGCCCCUCACUGGGCCUGGCUGUGGUCCUCGGUGAGGCCUGGCCCCACUGCGCAAUCACGUGUGCCUCCCUUGCUCCCUGAGGUCCGGCUCCCUCCUCGGUGAGGACAGCUCUGCUCCACACGGGCCUGGUUACGGUCCUCACAGAGGCCAGGCUGUCUUCUCACUGCAGUUCAGCUGUGCUCCUCCUUGAGGCAUGACUUUGCUCCUCUGAGGCCUGGCUCUGCUCUCCACUGAGAACCAGCUCCAGUCCACAAUGAGGACCGGCUCUGGUCCCCACUGAGGCCUGUCUCCCGUCCUCACUGAGGUUCCACUCCGGUCCUGUGAUGUGCUCUGGGGCCCGGGUAGGGUCCGCACUGAGGCCAGGCUCCGCUCGGCUCCGCUCCGUGAGACCCAGCUCCUCCUGCAGAGGCCUGGCUCCGCUCAGCACUGCCGCACAGCUCCGCCCUGCAAUGGGCCUGGCUGUGGUUCUCGGUGAGGCCACGGUAUCGUCCUCAGUGAAGCACAGCUCCAGUCCACGCUCAGGUCCUUAGUGAGCCCCGGCUCUGGUCCUCACAGAGAUUUGGCUUGCUUCUAACCGAGGUUUGGUUCACCUCCGUGAGGCCUGACUGCUACUCUGAGGCCAGGCUCCCCUCCUCACUUGGGGCCAGCGCCACUCCUCAGGUAGGCCUGGCUCUGCUCCGCACCGGGGCCUGGCUCCAGCACUGAGUCCUGCUCUGGGCCUCACUGAGAUUCAGCUCCAGCACUGAGUCCUGCUCUGGGCCUCACUGUGGUUCAGCUACCCUCCUCACUGAAGCCCAACGUUCCUUCACUGAGAGUGAAGGUUCACCUCCACUCUUCACUCAGGCCCAGCCUGGUCCUCCUUGAGGACGGAAUUUGGUUCUCUGAGGCAAGACUCCAUUCUACACUGAGGCCCAGCUACACUCCACAUAGAGACUGGACUCGGGUCCUCUCUGAGGUCUGGCUCUGCUCCUCAGUGAGACCCAGCUUCUCUCUGACUGAGGACUGGCUCCACCCACACUGGGGUCUGGCUAGGGUUCUCACUGAGCCCAGCUGGCUUCUCACUGAGGUUCUCUUCUCCCUCUUCCUGAGGAUUGACUUGACUACUCUGAGUCCCGGCUCUGGACCUCACUGAGGCCAGGCUCCACUCCACACCGGGGCAUGGCUACAACCUCAGUGAGUUCCGGCUCGCUUCUCACUGAGGUUCCAUUCUCUUCCUGAGGCCUGACUUUGCUACUCUGAGUCCUGGCUGUAAGGCGAGCAUGGAGAAAAGGAGAGUGAGCCGGACAGUCAGGCAGAGAAAUAUUUAUUAUAGGAAGAAAGAAAGUGGUUUUAGAGAGAAACCAGUGCUCUCUUGUUACAGCCAACCCUUCUUAUACCGUAUCGAUGGGAAAUUGUGCCCCAGAGGGGUUUAUCCUUAGCCCACAGCUGGAGUCCUGUGGUCACAUAGUCAAAGGGGUCUCAUGGUCGGGUGGUCAUGUAGUCUUGAGAAACUGGCACCAGCAGGGAAAAACAGGGUAUCGCCUUAAGGAAAAAACAGAAAGCCGUCAGGGCAACGUGGCCACCGCGAUUUCACCCCUUGUGUCAGGUUACCACCAUGGGCCAUAUUUUAACUACAGCUAUGAGCCCCUUGAGAGCCCUAACACUGGCUCUGGUCCUCAACAAGGUCCAGCUCCUCUCCUCACUGAGGCCUGGCUCACUUCUCACCACGGUUCACCUCUGAUCCUCCCUGAGACCUGACUUUGCUUCUCUGAGGCCCAGCUCUGGUCCUCCUCGAUGCCAGACUUUGCUUCUCUGAGGCAAGGCUCCAUUCUGCACUGAGGCCUGGCUCCACUCCACACAGAGGAUGGCUCCAGUGCUCAGUGAGACCGGCUCCUCUCUGCCCUGCACUGGGGCCCGGCUAUGGUCCUCAGUGAAGCCCGGCUCCACGCCUCACUGAGGGUCGGCUCUUGUCCCCAGGGAGGCCAGGCUUCGGUCCACACAGAACCUGGCUCACUUCUCACUGAGGUUCUGUUCUCCUCCUCCCUGAGGCCUGAAUUUACUUCCCUGAGGCCUGGCUCCUCUAGGGACUGAGAACCGGCUCCGCUCUCCACCGAGGCUCCUAUCCGCUCCUCACUGGGACCCACCUCCCUCAGCACUGAGGCCCGGGCCUCACAGAGGCCAGGCUCGCUUCUCACUACCUUUCACCUGCUUCUCCCUGAGGCCUGACUGCUUCACCGAGUCCCGUCUCCGCUACUCAGGAAGGUUCGGCUCUGGUCCUCCCUGAGGCCCAGGUCACACGUUACAGAGGCUCAUCUCUGCUCCUCCCUGAGGCCCGACUUCGCCUGUCUUCAGCCCGGCUCCGCUCCACAAUGAGGCCCGGCUCUGCUCCUCACCGAGGCCCAGUCUGGUCCUAAGGCUCGCCUCCGGCCUUCACUGAGUCCUCGCUCUGCUCCUCGCUUAGGCCCAACUUUGCUUCUCUGAGGCCUGGCUUGCUUCUCACUGAGGUUCAGCUCUGCCCCUCUGAGUCCAGACUUUGCUACUCUGAGGCCCUGCUCCGCCCCACUCCACACUGAGGCCUGGCUCACUUCUCACUGAGGUUCCGCUCUCCUCCUUGAAGCCUGACUCUGCUUCUCUGAGGCAAGUCUCCGCCCCUCACAGAGGCCCAGCUGUACUUCCCUGAGGCCCUGCUCCACUCGUCGGUAUGGCCCGGCUCUGCUCCUCACUGAUUCCCAGCUCUGGUCCUCAUUCUGACCUGAUUCUGUUCGUCUCUCAGACCUGACUAUAACAGGAGUCUCCAUCAAUAUGGAACUUAAAACCACAACCUUCACAUACUUUAAAAUUGUUAUAUUAAAAAUAAAGGUAAUUUUUGGCAACAAUGUAUAGAAAUUGGAACUUUUAAAUGUUAGUUGUCGAAAUGUGAUAUGGCUCAAUCUACUUACGUAAAACUUUGGCAUCUUAUAAAAAAUAUAAAAAUGCAGUUAUCAUCAGUUUCAAAAAGUCUGCUCUUACAUAUAUACCCAAAGAAUUUUAAAUAACUGUUGAAAUAAAACUUGUAUACCAACACUCACAGCAGCGCUGCUCUCGAUGCCCCUCUGAAAGAAGAAUCAAAACGCCCAUCAUUGGGUUAUGGGAUAAGGAAAGUAGGGUAGCUCCGUUAGGUGCGUUAUUUUACCAUAUAAGGAGCAGAAUCUGUGGACAUCAGUGGGUGGGGUCCUCAAACACUGAAACAUGAAGUUAACGUAUAACGCCUGGAUUUGCCUACGGCCAUGCCACCCUGAUCACACCUGAUCUCGACUGACCUCUUAAGCUAAGCAGGGUCUGACCUGGUUAGUACUUGGAUGGAAGAAUCCCUCAAUUCCACUCCAGGCUGUGCCCGCAAAUAUUUAAAAGCAAGGACUGGAACAGGUAUUUGUACCCCAUAUUCACAGCAGCCAAAAGGUGAAAUCAAAACAUGUGUCCUUCAGC